AUUGAACGCUGGCGGCAGGCUAACACAUGCAAGUCGAACGGUAACAGGAGCAGCUUGCUGCUUCGCUGACGAGUGGCGGACGGGUGAGUAUGUCUGGGAAACUGCCUGAUGGAGGGGGAUAACUACUGGAAACGGUAGCUAAUACCGCAUAACGUCGCAAGACCAAAGAGGGGGACCUUAGGGCCUCUUGCCAUCGGAUGUGCCCAGAUGGGAUUAGCUAGUAGGUGGGGUAACGGCUCACCUAGGCGACGAUCCCUAGCUGGUCUGAGAGGAUGACCAGCCACACUGGAACUGAGACACGGUCCAGACUCCUACGGGAGGCAGCAGUGGGGAAUAUUGCACAAUGGCGCAAGCUGAUGCAGCCAUGCCGCGUGUGUGAAGAAGGCCUUCGGGUUGUAAAGCACUUUCAGCGAGAGGAAGGCCAGUGACUUAAUAAGUGACUGGAUUGACGUUACUCGCAGAAGAGCACGGCUAACUCCGUGCCAGCAGCCGCGUAAUACGGAGGGUGCAAGCGUUAAUCGGAAUUACUGGGCGUAAAGCGCACGCAGGCGGUUUGUUAAGUCAGAUGUGAAAUCCCCGAUCUAACUUGGAACUGCAUUUGAAACUGGCAAGCUAGAGUCUGUAGAGGGGGUAGAUUCCAGGUGUAGCGUGAAUGCGUAGAGAUCUGGAGAAUACCGUGCGAAGCCGCCCCUGACAAGACUGACGCUCAGUGCGAAACGUGGGAGCAACAGAUAGAUACCUGUAGUCAGCGAUCACAGUGGAUAUCAGCUAUCGAUACGUCGACUCAGGGGUCAGUUACUAGAUAUGUCCUAGGGGGGUUAUUACC
rnacentral:rRNA from 1 species